rnacentral:tRNA from 1 species
GCAUGGGUGGCUCUGUCGGUUAAGCUUCUGACUUCAGCUCAGGACAUGAUCUCAUGGUUCGUGGGUUCAAGCCCCACAUCAGGCU